rnacentral:tRNA from 1 species
GGGGGUAUGGUGGAAUGGUAGACGCAACGGACUUAAAAUCCGUCGACUUUAAACAGUCAUGAGGGUUCAAGUCCCUCUACCCCCA